rnacentral:rRNA from 1 species
GAUGAACGCUGGCGGCGUGCCUAAUACAUGCAAGUCGAGCGAACAGAUAAGGAGCUUGCUCCUUUGACGUUAGCGGCGGACGGGUGAGUAACACGUGGAUAACCUACCUAUAAGACUGGGAUAACUUCGGGAAACCGGAGCUAAUACCGGAUAACAUAUUGAACCGCAUGGUUCAAUAGUGAAAGGCGGCUUUGCUGCCACUUAUAGAUGGAUCCGCGCCGUAUUAGCUAGUUGGUAAGGUAACGGCUUACCAAGGCAACGAUACGUAGCCGACCUGAGAGGGUGAUCGGCCACACUGGAACUGAGACACGGUCCAGACUCCUACGGGAGGCAGCAGUAGGGAAUCUUCCGCAAUGGGCGAAAGCCUGACGGAGCAACGCCGCGUGAGUGAUGAAGGUCUUCGGAUCGUAAAACUCUGUUAUCAGGGAAGAACAAAUGUGUAAGUAACUGUGCACAUCUGGACGGUACCUGAGCAGAAAGCCACGGCUAACUACGG